rnacentral:rRNA from 1 species
CAGGUGCCAGCAGCCGCGGUAAUUCCAGCUCCAAUAGCGUAUAUUAAAGUUGUUGCAGUUAAAAAGCUCGUAGUUGGAUUUGUGGUUGGAGAGGUCCGCCGUUGCUAUGCUUCGUGUUGGAUCUUUCCGUCCAUCCUUGGGUGGAUCCUGUGUGGCAUUCAGUUGUCGUGCAGGGGAUGCCCAUCGUUUACUGUGAAAAAAUUAGAGUGUUCAAAGCAGGCUUACGCCUUGAAUAUAUUAGCAUGGAAUAAUAAGAUAGGACCUGGGUACUAUUUUGUUGGUUUGCGCACCGAGGUAAUGAUUAAUAGGGACAGUUGGGGGUAUUCGUAUUCCAUUGUCAGAGGUGAAAUUCUUGGAUUUAUGAAAGACGAACUUCUGCGAAAGCAUUUGCCAAGGAUGUUUUCAUUAAUCAAGAACGAAAGUUGGGGGCUCGAAGACGAUCAGAUACCGUCCUAGUCUCAACCAUAAACGAUGCCGACCAGGGAUCGGCGGAUGUUGCUGUAAGGACUCCGCCAGCACCUUCUGAGAAAUCAGAGUGUUUGGGUUCCGGGGGGAGUAUGGUCGCAAGGCUGAAACUUAAAGGAAUUGACGG